rnacentral:tRNA from 1 species
GAGAAAGGCCUCUGAGGCAAUAAGUACUGCUAAUCCUUAUGGACCGAGGUUAAAGUCCCCGGCUUCCUCG